rnacentral:rRNA from 1 species
UAAUUUUAAAAGAAACUUAUUGGAUUUGGCGGCAAAGUAACCGUUUAGAGGAACCUGUCCUAUAAAUGACACUACACAAACUACCUUACUAUCUUUUGUAAUCAGUUUAUAUACCUCUGUUGUCAAUUAAAUUCUAUAGAAUUUUAUUAUAAAAAUAAGAGAUUUAUACUUCAAGUAAAGGUGUAGCUAAUAAGGUAGAGAGAGAUGGGUUACAAUUAGUUGGCUAAAGCGGAUAUCCCAUAAUUAUAAGGGUUAAAGACGGAUUUAAUAGUAAAAAUUUUUAAAGAAAUUUUGAGAAGAGAAAUAUUUUGUGUACAAACCGCCCGUC